UAGAGUUUGAUCAUGGCUCAGGACGAACGCUGGCGGCGGGCCUAACACAUGCAAGUCGAACGCACUCGACCUUCGGGUCACAUGAGUGAGUGGCGAACGGGUGAGUAACACGUGAGAAACCUGCCCCGAAGACUGGAAUAACCCGAGGAAACUCGGGCUAAUACCGGAUGCCCCCACCGGAUCGCAUGGUCUGGUGAGGAAAUGCUCCGGCGCUUCGGGAGGGUCUCGCGGCCUAUCAGCUAGUUGGUGAGGUAACGGCUCACCAAGGUAUCGACGGGUAGCUGGUCUGAGAGGACGAUCAGCCACACUGGGACUGAGACACGGCCCAGACUCCUACGGGAGGCAGCAGUGGGGAAUCUUGCGCAAUGGGCGAAAGCCUGACGCAGCCACGCCGCGUGAGGGAUGAAGGCUCUAGGGUUGUAAACCUCUUUCAGCAGGGACGAAAAUGACGGUACCUGCAGAAGAAGCCCCGGCCAACUACGUGCCAGCAGCCGCGGUAACACGUAGGGGGCGAGCGUUGCCCGGAUUUAUUGGGCGUAAAGAGCUCGUAGGCGGUUCAGUAAGUCGGGUGUGAAAACUUGAGGCUCAACCUCAAGAGGCCACUCGAUACUGCUGUGACUAGAGUCCUGUAGAGGGGGGUAGAAUUUC
rnacentral:rRNA from 1 species